rnacentral:rRNA from 1 species
AUUGAACGCUGGCGGCAGGCUUAACACAUGCAAGUCGAACGAGUGGCGGACGGGUUAGUAAUGCUUGUGACUCUAGCUUAUGGAGAGGGUUAACUACGGGGAACUGUUGCUAAUACCGUGUACCUUAGGAUGGGCCCAAGUGGGAUUAGGUAGUUGUGGAGGUAAAGGCUCACAAGGCGGACGAUCUCUAACUGGUCUGAGAGGAUGACCAGCCACACUGGAACUGAGACACGGCCCAGACUCCUACGGGAGGCAGCAGUGGGGAAUAUUGCGCAAUGGGAGAAACCUGAUGCAGCCAUGCCGCGUGAAUGAAGAAGGCCUUCGGGUUGUAAAGUUCUUUCGGUUGCGAGGCGUUAACUACAGAAGAAGCACCGGCUAACUCCGUGCCAGCAGCCGCGGUAAUAC